UGACUUGCUAGAAUUGGAUAGGUCUAUGGGUGAUCAAGAAGGCAUAUGAUUUAGCAUAAUGAUCUUUAUUGUACUUUGGAGGGGAAUUGGUCUACCAUCUCCGUGAUUGGGAGAUUGGACAUUAUAAUUUAUGAUAGUGUGGUAGUAUGUAUACGCGCGACCUCU